rnacentral:tRNA from 1 species
GCGUGAGUGGCUCAGGGGUAGAGCAUCUCCUUGCCAAGGAGAGGGUCGCGGGUUCGAAUCCCGUCUCGCGCU